rnacentral:lncRNA from 1 species
UUUCCCCAUCCCCUUGACCCCUUCCCCAUUCUCUCAGCCCCUUCCCCAUCCUAUUUCCACCUUCUUCACCCCUUUGGCCUGGCCCCUCCAUCCCCCUUCCCACCUUCACCCUUCUUUCCCCUUCCCCACCCCCUCUGUCCCCCCUUCCCUGUCCCCUCUGCCCCCUCCCCACUUUGGGGACAGCGCUGGCACCCCGCUGGGCGCCCCCACCAGCCCCCUGGGGACAGGAGGCUGGAAUUGGGGUGCAGACGGAGGUCUGGGGUGUGGGAUGGGGACAGCGCGUCCCCAGGUGGGGACAGGCAUGGGGGUGGCACUGCCGAGGGGGACCCCAGAGCCCAAAUUCCUGGAGUUGGGGUCCCGGGAAACCCCAUGGGGCAGGAGCAGGGCAGUGCUGUACCCCGAGAUCGGGGCGUCCCUGUGCUGUGGGGUUAGGGCACCCCCGUGCCGUAGGGAUGGGGUUCCCCUGUUCUGAUGGACUGGGGCAUCCCCUGCACCCCAGAAUUGGGACACCCCCAUAUGCUGGGAUCAGGGCACCCCAGAUUUGGGGUAUCCCUGUGCCAAGGGACUGGGACACCCCCAUACCCCAGAUUUGGGGUAUCCCCAUGAAAUGGGGAUGGGGCAUCCCCACACCCUGGGUCUGGGGCACCCCCAUACCCCAUUUUGGGGUAUCCCUCUGCCAAGGGACCAGGGAACCCCGUUACCCUAGGAUCAGAGCACCCCCAUAACAUGGGAUUGGGGCACCCCUGUGCCAAGGAAUUGGGGCACCCCCACUGCCUGGGAUCAGAUUUGGGGUAUCCCCAUGAAAUGGGGACAGGGCAUCCCCAUACACCAGAUUUUGGGUAUGCCUGUGCCAAGGGACUGGGACACCCCCACACCCUGGGAUCGGGGCACCCCCAUACCCCACAUUUGGGGUAUCCCAAUGAAAUGGGGACAGGGCAUCCCUACACCCUGGGAUCGGGACACCCCCAUGCUGUGGGACUGGGACAUUGCCCUAUUAUGGGAUGGGGGCACCCCUGCCCCCCUUUUACCCCCCCCAACGAAUCAGGACACCCCCAUAUUAUGGGAUGGCGACACCCCCACGCUGUAG